GUUAGUCUUAGGGAUUCCUCUUUGCAUUAGUUGUGAUGGGGUAGACCGAGGAUUAUGACUUAGCAGGCUCCGAUCGCGUUCAACACAGACAGUUUUUUCUCUUGCAUUAAGGACGUUCGCUAAAAAGGCAAAGGAAAUAAGAGGCUGACUUUUUCAUCGUAAUUGCAGCUUUGGGACGAGUUUAUCUGAAUAUUCAACUUGACGAGGUUUAUCCGGACUGCUGUGACACUUGCAGCCAGCAGUUAAUGAGAGAAGUGAGUGUGGGAGGUCAUUGAUGUAUAGAAGAAAAAGCAAAGGUCCAAGUGUUGACCCUUGUGGGACUCCGCAGGUAAUUGGUUGAAGGUCCGAUUCAGUGUUUCCUAAUUUGACAAACUGUUUUCUUUCAUUUAGGUAGCUUGAAAACCAUUAUUGUGGGGUAUCCCUAAUUCCAUAUUUGUACAUUUUAUCAAGUAAAAUGUUAUGGUUUAGGGUAUCAAAUGCCUUCGAGAAAUCAAGGAGAAUACCACUUUGAGAAACAGGCCCCUGGUUAAGCAGUUAUAAUCACACAAAAAAACAGACUUGAAAAAUAAACUGAUUUAUUCUGUUUUGUA